AGAGGGCUCGUUGGUGACCAGCGGAGGGAUCAUUAC
rnacentral:rRNA from 1 species